GACGAACGCUGGCGGCGUGCUUAACACAUGCAAGUCGAACGGAAAGGCCCUGCUUUUGUGGGGUGCUCGAGUGGCGAACGGGUGAGUAACACGUGAGUAACCUGCCCUUGACUUUGGGAUAACUUCAGGAAACUGGGGCUAAUACCGGAUAGGAGCUCCUGCUGCAUGGUGGGGGUUGGAAAGUUUCGGCGGUUGGGGAUGGACUCGCGGCUUAUCAGCUUGUUGGUGGGGUAGUGGCUUACCAAGGCUUUGACGGGUAGCCGGCCUGAGAGGGUGACCGGCCACAUUGGGACUGAGAUACGGCCCAGACUCCUACGGGAGGCAGCAGUGGGGAAUAUUGAACAAUAGGCGGAAGCCUGAUGCAGCAACGCCGCGUGCGGGAUGACGGCCUUCGGGUUGAAAACCGCUUUCGCCUGUGACGAAGCGUGAGUGACGGUAAUGGGUAAAGAAGCACCGGCUAACUACGUG
rnacentral:rRNA from 1 species